rnacentral:lncRNA from 1 species
ACCGCUCUUCCUCUCGCCGCCCAGCUGCCGCUCCACCGGUGAACCACUUUGAAGACAAGAGCACUGCCGAUGAUAGUUUCUUACAAAUUGAUUCGGGUAUUGUCUUUCCAAUAUCUUCUCCAUCCAUUCUUUAUUAGAAUUUCUGAAAACAAUUGCAGGAAUUUGCUUUCAAUUAAUCCUUAAUUCUUAUUAUUCUUUGUUGUAGCUUGUUCAGUAUUAUGCGAUAAAUUGAUUUUGCAUCGUAUUAAUUAUGAAUCCAGCCCUGUGAUUUUGAUUACUCUGUCAUGACAUGAUUAAUUAUAAUCCCCAAAUCAAGUGAUACUUUCCCUCUUCAUGUGAUCUCAUGACAGUAUACCUAUGUGGUAAUUGUAGCAAUCUCCUUCUUUCAUUUCUUAAAGCUUGAUUCAUGAUAGAUAUGGUGACUUGAGACAGCCUCGGGUUUAGUAAUUGUUCAAGGUAAACUUUGAUGUUGGCACAUUUGAAUAAUUGCCUCCUUUUCCAUUGUUAACUGAUUUCCUCUCUUUAUUUAGACUGGAACUACUUUAGUACUCUUGGAUUUAUGAAAAGUUUGCCAAGGUCAAUUUGCUUUCCUUCUCUUCUGCUUCAUUUAACUUUGACAACCUCUAGCUUUGGUGUUUUUGGUAAAGAUCGAAUGAUUUUAUGCUCAGUUGAUUCAUAAUCUCUUAUUUGUUUCCUCCACGGAUAUCUUGAUGAAUUGACUCUUAUGAUAAGUUCGAACUUGUCGAAGUUUUUCUUUAUUCUUACAAUGAAUUCCGGCCUGAGUUUACUCAGCAGCUCCUUUGUACUUGGUCUUAUAUUUUGGAAAAUCUGAUUCGGUUGUCGAAGAUAAGGCUUUCCUAGAUUAGUGUUGUGAAUUAUUUUUGCAGUUUUCUCUUCUUGAUUGGUUACUACUUGUAUGCUAAAUAAACAGCUCCUCUCCUCUCUACUUGGCAAGGACUGAUCAAACGCUCUUUCUCUCCAAAAUGAAAUGAUAAAUCUCUUGAUCUCUCCUCCUCAUCUCUACAAUAAGUCUAAACACCGAAAGUUCCUUCCCUUUUGCUCAUUUUUCUCUCCUCUCUAUUUCUCAUAUUACUCUAAGGCUUUCAUAUUGUGGUGCUGUUGAAGCGGCUCGGUUUUGUCUCUCUUAUAAUUAAUUGCCAUAUCACUGGUUAGUUCUCUUAACAUUGCAUUUGAUACUUACGUGAUACCUUUGUAUAUCUUUAAUUUUGUAUCAGCGUUGUGGAUGGCGGUUGCCUCGUCAGCAAUGGCGAAAGGUGAGACGAGGCGACCCUUCAUCGCUUUUGUGGCGAGACGAUCUUCAAAAAGCGAUGCCAUGUCGACAAUGGCGAGAAAGGUGAGAGGCAAGAAAGGCGUCGCCUUUUGUGUUUUCUUUAAAAAGGUGACCAAUUUAUGAUUUUAAAAGUUAAAAGGUAAUUUUAGGGUUUUCGACUAGACUCUUCGGGCGACCAACCAGACUUUUCCAGCGAUUCCAAAGUCCAACCAAUACAUAUUUCUUCUCCUUCAAAUCUCCUCCUCCUCCUCAUGGAUGAACUAAAAAGGAUGGAUUGCUCUUCUAAAGUAACUUGGAGAAUCUUAUCUUCCCUUCUUCUUCAAACCUGUCCAAUAACUCCUAACAGUUCAUCACUUUUUCUUCGGUUUUUUGAAUCUUGUUGACAUGGAUAUGUGAUUCUAUUUUGCUAGUUGCAUCGGUAGGUGCUUUCAACAUCGAAACUCAUCAAAUGAUCCCCUAAAAUUGCAGCAACAUCAGUUGAUGGCAAACCCUUGCCCAGGCAUUACUGAUUUGACACUUCUAGGAAAAAAAAUAGGAGUUGCAGGGCUCUAUUUGUUGUGCAUAGGAAGAGAAGUGACCCUCUUUUCCUCUUCAUCUACUAUAUCUGCCCAUCUCAAAGCACGUGUCACAUCUUGUUGUUUCUUAUUAGAAAUAACCAUUUCAUUUUUAACUAGCGUUCGACCAUAGAUUUCCAAAUAUUUUUAGCAAAUAUUAUUUGGGUGAAAUUUCAAUGUGUUUGGCCAUAGUAUUUGGGAAACAUAUUUCAAUUUUUAAAGAAAUAUGAUCUAUACCCAUAAAUUUUAAAAACAAUCAAAACCAACCAUAUGUUUGUAUUACACAGCAAGAUAGAAACGUCGAUGUAAUAAGGUUCAUGACUUCCGCAACAAGUCAAUUGGAUCUUCGUUGCAGCAAAUAACAAAUAGUGUCCAUGACACUGGAGUAAUGUGGUAGUUAUGAGUGAGUGCAACAAGCAUUAUUCCAUACAUGGUGAAGUAAACGAAACACAUGACUUUGUUACUCUGAGGCGAUUGUUCGUCAUUUUCAUCAACACAUCAUCACUUUCAUAUUCACUAAUAUGUCAUCGUCACUUUGGUGUUCACAAAAAAAAAUUAUGCAAUACAUCGCAAACAACUACCAUAGCGGGUGUUUUUGUAAAAAAUAAAAGUUUGGUGUAUAAUUUGAAAUUUUAAAGCUCCCAAAUAGUGAGAUUUGACUCAAAUACUAGUUUUUUCUAGUAUUUGGAAAUUUGGGGUUAUUUACCAAAAAGUUUGCCAAAUAGUGGCAAAUUGUAUGGACAAACACUUUGUCAAUUUUCUUCCCAAAUUUUACUUGGGAAAUCUAUGGCCAAACGGGUUAGAGUUAGUUGGAGAAAUUGAGAUCUUACCUUUCUCAACAUUUUGGUCAUUCCUUGUAGACAUUGGCUGCUGCCUCGAAUACCCAUGAUGCUCACCCAACAAUUCCAAUGAUUAGGAAGGAAUCUCUUGUACUGAGGCAUUUAAAUUUACAAGUGGUAGAUUGUUCACUGAUUAACCAUAGUAGCAAACUGACUUUCGUUUAAAGUGUUAAUUACUUCUUGAGACACGGAACCUCCUUUGGAACAAUUGCUCGAGCACUUGAGUUCAUAGUUUGACUGCCUACAAUUUGGUGCAUUGUGUUACGAAUUGGUGAACCAAUUCUAACACCCGAAGAGUCUUUCUUUGUCACCACAGUUCAAUUUGAAUGAUGUACUAAUUUCCCUUCAGUCACAUUGUUAGAUUGAUGCACUUGUUGCCCAUAAUUUUUGAUAAAUAGUGCCGCAAUUAAAGCUUGAUUAAUUAUGUAGCAUCAGUCAAACUAGUGUGCUCUUCGCCUACACUUUCACCCGGCUUAGCAGCAACCGUAGCCAAUUGAUCCCUUUGACCAUCACCUAUUUAUUGAACCUGUGCAUUCCCAGAUUUUGAUACACAAUUUGCAUCUUCAGUAAGCUCGUGUUUUGCACAUCCCCAACACAUGUAGGAUCAACAACAUUUAAAUUAGAAUUGCUGCACAAUUUUUUCACUCACUUGGACCACCAAUCACGCUCAUCAUCAUCCCAUUAACAACUCUGUUUCCAACAUUUAUUUGUGGCAAAAAAUUCCUUUGUUGGUUAGGACUAGAAACGUUAUUUUCGCCAACAAACUUUUCAGCUUGUGAAUGACAUGUAGCUUCAAGUUUUUCAUUACCAGCCCUGGUAGCUUUAGCUACUGGUAUUAACACAAAGCUAAAGUUACAACACAAUCAGAUUGUGAGACAUCCCUAAUCACACCAUCUAGUUGUUGUUGAGGAUAUUUUUGCACCAAAUUAUUAGCUUGAUGAUCAUUAUUACCAACUUGUAUGAUUUCAUUACCACCAACUCACUUUGCAUCUAAUAUCUCCCUCGCAUCACCUUGAUAUUUUUCAAUAUAAGUUCCAUAUGUCAAUGCUUUUUCUGGAGUUUUUGUUGCAUUCUUUAUCAAUAGCAAUCUACAUCCGCUUUCGUCAUGGCCUUGGUGCUUACAGAAGGUACAAUAACAUGGCAAUUAUCAUACACAAACUUUUGAAAGUGAUUCAUAAUUUUUCCAAAUUUCUCAUCGACAUAUUGAAGUUUCAUUCGUUGUGGAAGCUUAGCCAAUAAAUCCAUUCUGACUUUAACCCUUGUUGUGCUAGGCCUCGACUUCUCUUGGGUGGCUUUAUCAAUAGCAAUUGGCUUACCCACUGUCGACAUAAUGGACAGUAACAACUGUUUUGCAAUUAAGUCUAGCGGUAAAUUCGAAAAGAUAUUCAAACAAAAGCUUUUGAGGUUUCUUAUCUAGGAUUGAGACCAACUCUCCAUGGAAAGACUCCGAAUUGGUGUUGUGUACCAUUGUGUAACAAGUAGUUGACAGAUUUAGCCGCACCUAAAACGUAAUCAUCAUACCUAUCACAUCUAAGCAAUAUAUGUCGAAGUGUGAGCCAUCUGACAAGGCAACGACCUUGACUUCUUAGUUUUGUAGGCAAUAGCUUUCUCAAUUCUUGUAUAUCAAUUUGUUCAUGUGAAAACUUUAUUAGAAGAGCUUGGUGUAAGCCUUCCUCCACUGCAUAUCACUUUAUCUCCUCUAUCAUGAAUUAACGGUAGGUUCCCAUGUUUGUUGUUUUGGGUUCGGUAGUGCUGCAUAAGAAUCUUGAGAAUUAGAAUUAGGGUUCGGCUCUCCCACAGCCAAGGGUUGGGGAGAGGACAAAGAAGCCAUGGAAGGCUUUACUUCACCAUUCAUACAGAGAAGGGAGCAACUAUUUAGGUUUCUUGAUUCGAUUCGUGUUGUGAAUAUUUUAAUGACUUGAAGUGAAUCCUAAGUGUAUAAGAUGGAAUUUUGCUCUCUUUGUGGACUUGAAAAAUGAUUGAUAAAGAAGUUUGAGCUAAUACUAUAAUAGAUCUUAUAAUAAAUUUUAGUGAAAAAACGCAAAAAAACGAUAAGAGUAUAGUAAGAAUAUUAGAGACAAUAGAAAUAACUCAAAAUAAACAUAAAAAGAUAUUAGAAAGGGUAGAACAAAAUCUUGAUUUCUUAAAAUCACAAGAAUUAGAACUAGAUAGAAAAAUCCAAUAUUUAAACAAUAAGUUUAAUAUAGAACAAAUACCUAUCAAAGUAGAAAUAGGAAGGUUAAUAAAAACCAUAACAGAAAAGCCUAAAGCAUUAGAACUAAGAACAACUAAAUUAGUUGAAAAAAUUAUAACGCAAGUAGAAAUAGUAACCACUGAAGUUAUUGAGUUAAAAAAGACAAUAAAACAACUAGAAGAUAAACUCCUUUCAUGAACGAUCUAUGCCAAGAACCAUCCUAUACAAAAGCCUUAAAUUUUACAGGAAGUAUCCAACCAGAUCCGCAAGGAUUGUCUGACCACCAACCUUCAAGUAAAUCAGAUCAAAUAAUUAUUAAACAAAAUAACACUAAUAGUAUUACUGAUAGAAUUAAAUAAAAAAUUAGAUAAAAUAAUUAAAGAAAAAGAAGUUAUAAAAGAACAACCUAAAAAUACUGACAUAG